GUGGCUGUGAGCGGAAAAAAGUUAAUCAGAAAAUUUGUCAGUUUAUUUGUGAUUUGUGGUAGAAAUAUAUCGGUGGUGGGAAAAGGAUAAAAGGUGAUUUUUAUUGCGCGAUCAGGAAGACUGGAAGGAAGAGAGGAAGAAGCCAGAUUGUGCGGGAACAAGGCAACGAUUUUAAUCGUCCGGAAGGCUUCUCUCACCGGGAAGGAAAUUUUUUCUGGUCCUUGCGACCACGGAUUAAUAAAUACACAUUUCUCGUUAAAGGUGAGGUCAAGGACAAGGCUGAGGGAAAGUAUAGGGGAAAUUGAAUCUAAUCUGUUACACCUUUGAAUAUCUUUAAGGUGAGGCCAAGGACAAAUCCAUCGGGAAGCUAGAGAAGGAAUUCUAUUUAAUUCGUAUCCUUUGAAUAUCUUUAAGGUGAGGUCAAGGACAAGGCUGAGGGAAAGUAUAGGGGAAAUUGAAUCUAAUCUGUUACACCUUUGAAUAUCUUUAAGGUUGGUCAAAGUACAUCCAUUUUUCUGGUCCGUCAUCGAGCCAUCGCACUCAAUCAGCUAUCGCUCCAACGGUUUCUCCAACGGUCAUCAAUCCACUCACAAUGGCCAAGCAGGUUCGGGAGGGAGUUGUGCAGGCACUUAUUCGGGUCGAGUCUUUUUUGAAGGGUAUCAGCGAGGCUGAUCUCCAAUACAUGCAACGAAGCGUCAUUGAGGCUCAAAUGGAACAAGUUGCCACAUUGAGGACACGAUAUGUGGCAGC